rnacentral:rRNA from 1 species
GAUGAACGCUGGCGGCGUGCCUAAUACAUGCAAGUCGAGCGAACGGACGAGAAGCUUGCUUCUCUGAUGUUAGCGGCGGACGGGUGAGUAACACGUGGAUAACCUACCUAUAAGACUGGGAUAACUUCGGGAAACCGUAGCUAAUACCGGCUAAUAUUUUGAACCGCAUGGUUCCAAAGUGAAAGACGGUCUUGCUGUCACUUAUAGAUGGAUCCGCGCUGCAUUAGCUAGUUGGUAAGGUAACGGCUUACCAAGGCAACGAUGCAUAGCCGACCUGAGAGGGUGAUCGGCCACACUGGAACUGAGACACGGUCCAGACUCCUACGGGAGGCAGCAGUAGGGAAUCUUCCGAAAUGGGCGAAAGCCUGACGGAGCAACGCCGCGUGAGUGAUGAAGGUCUUCGGAUCGUAAAACUCUGUUAUUAGGGAAGAACAUAUGUGUAAGUAACUGUGCACAUCUUGACGGUACCUAAUCAGAAAGCCACGGCUAACUACGUG